rnacentral:rRNA from 1 species
AUACGUAGGGGGCAAGCGUUGUCCGGAAUUACUGGGCGUAAAGGGCGCGCAGGCGGUUUGAUAAGUCACGCGUGAAAAGCAUCGGCUCAACUGGUGCAUUGCGAGUGAAACUGUCAGACUUGAGUGCAGUAGAGGGAAGCGGAAUUCCUAGUGUAGCGGUGAAAUGCGUAGAUAUUAGGAAGAACACCAGUGGCGAAGGCGGUUUUCUGGGCUGCAACUGACGCUGAGGCGCGAAAGCUGGGGGAGCGAACGGGAUUAGAUACCCCGGUAGUCCCAGCCGUAAACGACGAUCACUAGGUGUAGGAGGUAUCGACCCCUUCUGUGCCGAAGCAAACGCAUUAAGUGAUCCGCCUGGGGAGUACGUCCGCAAGGAUGAA